rnacentral:rRNA from 1 species
UACGUAGGGCGCGAGCGUUAAUCGGAAUUACUGGGCGUAAAGCGUGCGUAGGCGGUUCGUUAAGUUCGUUGUGAAAGCCCCGGGCUCAACCUGGGAAUGGCAAUGGAAACUGGCGGGCUUGAGUAUGGCAGAGGGGGGUGGAAUUCCGCGUGUAGCAGUGAAAUGCGUAGAGAUGCGGAGGAACACCGAUGGCGAAGGCAGCCCCCUGGGCCAAUACUGACGCUCAGGCACGAAAGCGUGGGGAGCAAACAGG